UGGGGAAUUUUGGACAAUGGGGGCAACCCUGAUCCAGCAACGAUGCGUGGAGGACGAAGGUUUUCGGAUUGUAAACUCCUUUUGAGAGGGAAGAAAAAAAUGACGGUACCUCUCGAAUAAGCCACGGCUAACUACGUGCCAGCAGCCGCGGUAAGACGUAGGUGGCAAGCGUUACUCGGAAUUACUGGGCGUAAAGAGCACGUAGGCGGUAACCUAAGUCAGGUGUGAAAGACCAGGGCUUAACUCUGGGGUUGCAUACGAAACUGGGUAACUAGAGUGCAGGAGAGGAAAGUGGAAUUCCUAGUGUAGCGGUGAAAUGCGUAGAUAUUGGGAGGAAUACCGGUGGCGAAGGCGGCUUUCUGGACUGUAACUGACGCUGAGGCGCGAAAGCUGGGGGAGCGAACA
rnacentral:rRNA from 1 species